AACGAACGCUGGCGGCAGGCUUAACACAUGCAAGUCGAACGGGUGUAGCAAUACAUCAGUGGCAGACGGGUGAGUAACACGUGGGAACCUUCCUAGGGGUACGGAACAACUCAGGGAAACUUGAGCUAAUACCGUAUACGUCCGUAAGGAGAAAGAUUCAUCGCCCCUAGACGGGCCCGCGUCGGAUUAGGUAGUUGGUGGGGUAACGGCCUACCAAGCCUACGAUCCGUAGCUGAUCUGAGAGGANGAUCAGCCACACUGGGACUGAGACACGGCCCAGACUCCUACGGGAGGCAGCAGUGGGGAAUCUUGGACAAUGGGCGCAAGCCUGAUCCAGCCAUGCCGCGUGAGUGAAGAAGGCCUUAGGGUUGUAAAGCUCUUUUACCAGGGACGAUAAUGACGGUACCUGGAGAAUAAGCCCCGGCAAACUUCGUGCCAG
rnacentral:rRNA from 1 species